rnacentral:miRNA from 1 species
UCACCCUUCCAUAUCUAGUCU